AUGCUGAUUUCGGCAGCACAUACACUAAAAUUAGAAUGAUACAGAGAAGAUUAGCACAGCCCCUGCGCAAGGAUGACAUGGAAAUUUGUGAAGCAUUCCAUAUAACU
ensembl:snRNA U6 U6 spliceosomal RNA